rnacentral:rRNA from 1 species
UACGUAGGGUGCAAGCGUUGUCCGGAAUUAUUGGGCGUAAAGAGCUCGUAGGCGGUUUGUCGCGUCUGCUGUGAAAACUCGGGGCUUAACCCCGGGCCUGCAGUGGGUACGGGCAGACUAGAGUGCGGUAGGGGAGACUGGAAUUCCUGGCGUAGCGGUGAAAUGCGCAGAUAUCAGGAGGAACACCGGUGGCGAAGGCGGGUCUCUGGGCCGAUACUGACGCUGAGGAGCGAAAGCGUGGGGAGCGAACAGG